GGAAGGGUCGCAUAGAGGCCUAGUGCGGUAGUCCUGAAAACUACUAAGGGCGCAAGCUCUUCGUGGGUUCGAAUCCCACCCCUUCCG
rnacentral:tRNA from 1 species